AAAUGUUAUAAUUUGAUAAUUAUUUGAUAAUUAAAUUUGAUUGCAAUACGUGCUGUCUUUGCAUUGCCUCUACAUAAACUAUCAAUGCAUAUUUCAACAGGUGCACCUAUUAUUAAAGCUUCAGGCAUCAUAGG